CACACACACACACACAAAAAGCCCUAUAAAUCGCGCCAUCCGGAUAGAGUGAAUUUGAUUGUGGUUGGAUGAGAAGUGUAAACAUGUAUCAUUCCGACA